GAUGCACAUAUCCAUUUAGAACAUGUCUUCAAAAACACAACCCAGGACUUGAUGACAAUCUGAAUGCACUGGCAGCAAAUGGAAGGCUGCCUCCACGUCGACCUUAACCGACCCCUGGGCCUGCGGCCCUGACCAUGCCGACUGCCACGUCAAGUAACGUGUAGGACACUCAGCAGAGUUCCGAAGAGAUGUCAUUCACCGAACCCCCACGAGGGUACGACAGAUGAUGAAUCAUAUGGUACUUUCCCUGCUCCUUUUUGGGCACCCCACCCAAGGGGGA